rnacentral:miRNA from 1 species
UAUUUUGCCUAUUUAACAGACA